GGGGCUAUAGCUCAGCUGGGAGAGCGCCCGCCUUGCACGCAGGAGGUCAGCGGUUCGAUCCCGCUUAGCUCCA
rnacentral:tRNA from 1 species